rnacentral:rRNA from 1 species
GACGAACGCUGGCGGCGUGCCUAAUACAUGCAAGUCGAACGCAGUGGGGACGGGUGCGUAACACGUGGCUAACCUGCCAUCAGAGGGGAUAACACUUGGAAACAGGCGCUAAACCGAUAUUGAAGGAGGGACCCGCGGUGCAUUAGCUAGUUGGUGGGGUAACGGCGCACCAAGGCCACGAUGCCUAACCGGCCUGAGAGGAUGAUCAGCCACACUGGGACUGAGACACGGCCCAGACUCCUACGGGAGGCAGCAGGAGGGAAUCUUCGGCAAUGGACGAAAGUCUGACCGAGCAACGCCGCGUGGGUGAAGAAGGUUUUCGGAUCGUAAAACUCUGUUGUUAGAGAAGCGGUAUCUAACCAGAAAGCCACGGCUAACUACGUGCCAGCAGCCGCGGUAAUUC